rnacentral:rRNA from 1 species
AUAAUAAUUUGUUUUUUAAUUGAAAACUAGAAUGAAAGAUUGGACGAAAAAUUAACUGUCUCAAAUUUAUUAGUAUUUAAAUUUAAUUUUUAAGUUAAAAAGCUUAAAUUUAAUUAUAGGACGAGAAGACCCUAUAGAAUUUUAUAAUUAAAUUAUAUUUAUUUAUAAAUAAAUUUUAAAUAUAAUAAAUUAUUAUAUUGGGGUGAUAAAAAAAUUAAAUAAAUUUUUUUUUUAUAAAAACAAUAAUUUUUGAAUUUUUGAUCCUAAAUUUUAGAUUAUUAGAAAAAAUUACCUUAGGGAUAACAGCGUUAUUUUUUUUAAAAGUUCAUAUUAAUAAAAAAGAUUGC